rnacentral:rRNA from 1 species
AACGAACGCUGGCGGCAUGCCUAACACAUGCAAGUCGAACGAGACCUUCGGGUCUAGUGGCGCUCGGGUGCGUAACGCGUGGGAAUCUACCCUUGGGCUCGGAAUAACAGUUAGAAAUGACCGCUAAUACCGGAUGAUGACGUAAGUCCAAAGAUUUAUCGCCCAAGGAUGAGCCCGCGUAAGAUUAGCUUGUUGGUGGGGUAAUGGCCUACCAAGGCGACGAUCCUUAGCUGGUCUGAGAGGAUGAUCAGCCACACUGGGACUGAGACACGGCCCAGACUCCUACGGGAGGCAGCAGUGGGGAAUAUUGGACAAUGGGCGAAAGCCUGAUCCAGCAAUGCCGCGUGAGUGAUGAAGGCCUUAGGGUUGUAAAGCUCUUUUACCAGGGAUGAUAAUGACAGUACCUGGAGAAUAAGCUCCGGCUAACUCCGUGCCAGCAGCCGCCGUAA